rnacentral:rRNA from 1 species
AUACGUAGGUUGCGAGCGUUGUUCGGAAUCAUUGGGCGUAAAGCGCGUGUAGGCGGCUAUUUAAGUCUGGUGUGAAAGCCCGGGGCUCAACCCCGGAAGUGCAUUGGAUACUGGAUGGCUAGAGGACGAGAGGGGAAGGUAGAAUUCCAGGUGUAGGGGUGAAAUCCGUAGAUAUCUGGAGGAAUGUCGGUGGCGAAGGCGGCCUUCUGGCUCGUAUCUGACGCUGAGACGCGAAAGCGUGGGGAGCAAACAGGAUUAGAAACCCCAGUAGUCC